CUUUCCUGUUCCAAUUGAUAAGAUGCAUGUACUCUUAUGCAUGCAUCGUGCGAGACCUUGAGCGAAUAAAAAGUUUUGAAGUAUGUUCGCCCUUGUUCUUUAAAGUUUGGAUCUGUUAGAUAUUUCAACACGUGCUCGCAAUUCAUGUACUUUAUGUGAAACCAUACUUUUAAAAUAUUUUAAAAUUUGAAACUUCAAAAUUUUUGUAAAUCUUACUGAAAAAUUACAAUGUGUAAUGUGUUAAGUCACAAAAAUGUUCAUUUCCAGGAAAUGCCGUUGAGAUUUGUGACAUGCAGUGUUCGUUUUUACUUAUUUUUUUUAUUACUGAAGACGUACACCUGAUGGCAUCCUGCAUUCAAUCACAGUGAAUCUGAAGUAUACUUCCAAGAAAUAAGGCAAUACAGCGUUCUGUGCAAUCAAAACGGUUUUUUAUAAGUAGUCAAUGCGAAACACGGAUUUUACGAAAGCUGCUUUUUGGGGUCUUCCAACAGUCUGCUUGAAUUUCAAUGGUCACGAACUGUGCUCCUUUCUUAGCUGACCUGUUUUUGUAUUCUCACGAGGCAGAAUUCAUUCAGAAGUUUCUACACGAGAAGGAAAAAUAUCAUGCUGUGGCCUUCAACUCGACAUUCAGAUAUAUCGACUAUGUUUUAUCUAUUAACAAUAUUCAUUUUCAUUCGUAUGUCGAAUCGAUAUAUCCUAGUGAACUUCAAAUAAAACACAUGACAUAUU